rnacentral:tRNA from 1 species
GGGGCCGUAGCUCAGUUGGAAGAGCGCCACGUUCGCAACGUGGAGGUCGCCGGUUCGAUCCCGGUCGGCUCCACCA